rnacentral:misc_RNA from 1 species
UUUGGAUGUGAAGAGAUCAACACAAUACUUGAUGGAGUAUCAGAAUCAGUACAUGUUUAAUGAAGCACCGGUAGGGGAUGGUGAUGAAGAUGAUGCCAAUGCUAUGCUUUCUUGAAAGUAAAUCUGCUGCAGCAAUCAUACAUUUGUGUAACAAUGACAAGCUUUCAAUUGUGCCAAUGUAGGAUCAUGUUAUCAGGCGCUGAACUGAAAUGAAUGGAGAUCCAGAAUUCAUCAUGUAUGAUAUUCGGUGAACCAAAUAGUGAUGGUAUGCCUCUGUUUUGAGAUAUCAAGCGUGCUCUAAAUGUGCUAAAUUUAAAUGCACGAUGUGUGGGGAAUGGACUUAUACUGAAACCAUGCAAGGAUUGUAUCACUUAGAAAUGUCAGAUCAGUUAGAUUUGUUAUGAACUUAAUGUUGGAAUUUAGGUAAUUCAACCAUUUUCAUAUCUUUUUUUAGUAUUCUAUUUUUCUAUUGUCCUUCAUCUUCCCAAAUAAAAAAAAAAAA